rnacentral:rRNA from 1 species
AUUGAACGCUGGCGGCAUGCCUUACACAUGCAAGUCGAACGGCAGCACGGGGCAACCUGGUGGCGAGUGGCGAACGGGUGAGUAAUGCAUCGGAACGUACCUUUCAGUGGGGGAUAACGUAGCGAAAGUUACGCUAAUACCGCAUAUUCUGUGAGCAGGAAAGCAGGGGAUCGCAAGACCUUGCGCUGAUUGAGCGGCCGAUGUCAGAUUAGCUAGUUGGUGAGGUAAAGGCUCACCAAGGCGACGAUCUGUAGCGGGUCUGAGAGGAUGAUCCGCCAACCUGGAACUGGGACACGGUCCAGACUCCUACGGGAGGCAGCAGUGGGGAAUUUUGGACAAUGGGGGCAACCCUGAUCCAGCCAUGCCGCGUGAGUGAAGAAGGCCUUCGGGUUGGAAAGCUCUUUCAGCCGGGAAGAAAUCGCACGGGCUAAUACCCUGUGUGGAUGACGGUACCGGAAUAAGAAGCACCGGCUAACUACGUGCCAGCCGCCGCUGUAAUAC